GACGAACGCUGGCGGCGUGCUUAACACAUGCAAGUCGAACGGAAAGGCCCCUUUGGGGGUCCUCGAGUGGCGAACGGGUGAGUAACACGUGAGUAACCUGCCCUUGACUUCGGGAUAACUUCAGGAAACUGGGGCUAAUACCGGAUAGGAAUCCUUGCUGCAUGGUGGGGGUUGGAAAGCUUCGGCGGUUUUGGAUGGACUCGCGGCUUAUCAGCUUGUUGGUGGGGUAGUGGCUUACCAAGGCUUUGACGGGUAGCCGGCCUGAGAGGGCGACCGGCCACUUUGGGCCUGGGAUACGGCCCAGCCCCCUACGGGGGGCAGCAGUGGGGAAUAUUGCACAAUGGGCGGAAGCCUGAUGCAGCAACGCCGCGUGCGGAAUGCCGGCUUUCGGUUUUUAACCCGCUUCCAGCAGGGCCGAACCUUGUGGGGCCGUAACCGGCAGAGGAGGACCCGCCAACCUCCUU
rnacentral:rRNA from 1 species